UGUGUAUUCUUGUGUAUUCUUCUAAUCAUUCACUGUAUAAAAUCUUCUUUUUUUUUUUUAGGAAGAAUCGUUGAAUUUGGGGCCAAUUGUGUUUAAUGAAGCUUGUGGGGUAACAUUUGUUGGCACUGCUGCUUUGUCUGCAUAGUUUCCUUUUUUCCGCAUUUGCUUCUUGACGCGUUGGAUACAGGGUUUUCGGACCUGUCUUUCAGCGCAUGUUUUUCUUUUUGUUAUUUUGGUUGUUGUACUUGUCUUUUCUUUAGGUUUAGUUUUUGGUUUUCUUUAUACUGUUCUGUUUGUUUGGUGUGUAUUUUGUUCUGUUUAAAGUUAACCAACAGAGAUGAUGGACGGCUUGGACACACCGUUUUAGAGCUGAGGCUUCCAGGCAGGCCGCUAGUCGACCCUAGUGUGUGGUGGUGGGACUCCAGCACGGGGUGCAGUGUGUGGUCACGCUUGAUCUUGCGUGUGGGUGUGUUGUGACCUGUGCACCGGGGUGGCAUAGUCAGCGACAUCUUAACUAGUUUCUUCCAUCAAGUUGUGGGGAUACAAGAGACAAGAAAAUGCAGGAGUGCCAUCUCUAAAGACACAGAACAGCAAUUCUUCCAUCCAAUCUGGCAGAAGUUGAAAGAUUCUGCAGACUGUAAUGGGAGAAGAUUCCAAAAUCAGAAACCAGGCUUGUAGCAUCAUACUAAAGAUAAAUUAAGGCUAAUGAGAGUGCUUAAAAGUGCAAAAUAUUUUUAAUA